rnacentral:misc_RNA from 1 species
GGCCAGUUGAUAAGGACACUAAUUACUGUGUGCAGGCGUUAUAGACAGCAGUCCGCACUGUUUUUGUUUUCCACAACUUUCUAAAAGUUGGUACCUUAUCUAGAAAUCAAUAAUCAACUCAAAUUCACGACUCAUUUUUACACAAUUGGGUGGCUAUGUCAUUGUAAGGCAUUUAUAUUCCAUCAGCAACAGAAUCAUUACAAACAGGAAGGAAAAAUUCAAUUGAAGAAGCAGGAAGAUGAAGAAAAGAAAAAAUAGUAAUCCUUAUAUUCAUUAUUAUGGAAAAUCAUGAAGUUCCUGAUUAAUCCUUUGAAUUUCAAACUAGGUAGCUAGUAGUCUAGUUACACUAAUGUCCACCCAGAAACCGGAAACUUAUCAUAAAGAAAAUAGAGGCUGCAGAAAUGGCCAAGCCAACAUAAAUCCAAUUUCCCCAUCUAGUAUGACACGAAAACCCAUGCCCCUUUUCAAUUUUCCCCCUCUUAUAUAAUUUGGACCGCAAACAUUAGAUAUUGCAACUCAUAAAACAAUUUUAAAGUUAAGAAAUAUGUUAGUUGCAUC